ensembl:lncRNA
UGGCGAGAACAGCUCCUCAAACCUCCUCUGAGGGGCCGCUGCUGUAGUGAAACCCACAAACCAAGGCCCUAUAAAGAAAAAAAAAGGGAUUAGAAACAGUCAGCAUGCAUUCACCAAGGGGAAGAUGUGCUCUACCAACCUCAGUCUUCCACAAUGGCAUCGCCAGGCAUGCAGACGGAGGAGAGAGCAGAUGUCAUCUACCUUGAAUCAGAAAUGCUGCUGGAUUUUUUCCUCCCGCAACAUCCCAACAUGAGUGGGCAGGGAGGUGGGCUGAGAACUGGCCUAUCAGCAGAACCGAGUCUGGUUGGAGACCACGCUGGCAGUGCUGGGUCCAAGUUCAUUCAGUACCUUCAUCUGCAACCUCACUGAGGGCAGUGCCCACCCUCACCAAGUACACCAAUGAUACAUACCAUACAUACCUUGGAAGAGCAGCUGAUGCACCGGAAGGCUGUGCUGCCGUCCCACAGGAAGGGCUGCAGAGCUGCACACCUAGGAAGGAAUAACCACAACUAUCAGUACAGGGACGAGCUGCUGGAGGAGCUGAAAGAGCCAAUGCAACUCUAGGGUGCAUCAGAAGGAAUGCAGCCAGCAGGUCGGGGAGGUGAUCCUCCCCCUCUGCUCUGCCCCGGUCCAGCCCUCACCUGCAGUACUGCAUCCCAUUCCAGGCUCCUCAGUACAAACAAAGAGAGGGAUCUCCUGGAAGAAGUCUGGCAGAGGGCCACAAAGACGAUGCAGGGCCUGGAGCACCUCUAUGAUGCAGUUUGCAGAGGGGUUAACUUCAUUACCUCCGGAGGUCCCUUCCAGCACCUACAAUCCUGUGGUUCUGUGAACAAAAUUCAUGAGUAAAACUAAAGAUUCACACCGCCACAUCCCAGUGCUCGUCUCUGCGGUCCCAGUGCAGCGGGAACCUUGCAUCUCUGGGCUGAUCCCUGCUGCAAAGCACCUUACCUUGCAACAGCUUUUUGGGGAAAUCAAAAAGAUAAAAGCACAGCAAGUGAUUUAAAGCACUGCUUUCAACUUAGCUGUCCCUGGCGUUGCUUCUUACUCCCAGCAGCAAUAGGGCUGGGGAGGGGACAACCGUGGUUCCAUCCUGCACGCCCCCGCUGCUGCAACCAAGGGGGGCAGUGGGCACCCCCAGGGCUGCGCUCUGCCUUGGGGAGUCCAGCAGAACCCAGAAAAAGAAGGUAGGGAGCCCAGCAGCAGCACUGCAUCGACCCCAAUAGAAGGGCAAAAGGAUCCUCCUGCUGCAAGCAAAGAGCCCCCGGGGUCUGGGCACGAGGGAACGUGCUCGCCCGGACCCCCGGGACUCAGCUCCACGCUCCCAUCGCUGCCACAGCCGCUCGGUACUGCGGGCUGAUCCUCGCUGGAGCUCUCGCCCUGCAAGAGAGAAACAAAAAGGAGAGAGAACAAACGUGAUUAAAUGGAUAUCCCCAGCAUUUGCUGUUUUGAAAGCAGCCCCUUGCGAUGCUUCUGACCCCCAGCAGCUCCGGGCUAAGGGGUGCAGCUCCAUCCUGCUCUCCUCCAUUGCUGCGGCACCUGCAAACUGCCCUUAACUAACCCCACAAAGGGGCUAGGAGAGCUGCUUUGCAAAAGUGCUGCAUAGGCUCUAAGGAGCAGAGGGGAGCCAAGAGCAGCCCUGUGCUGGACCCAAAGAGGGCAGGGGCACCAACAGCAAUCCCAUACCACCACCAAAAAGAAGAAAACAAGGCCAGAGCCCAGCAGGGCCACCCCACGAUGACUCCAAAAGAGCAGAGGAGCCCAGCAGAAACCAGACCCCAAAAAAGCCCAGCAGAAGCCCAGCACCCUCCCCAAAAAGAGAGAGCAGUGUGGGAGCCUGGCAGCAUGCUGCGGCAAGCCCUGAAUGAGCCCCUGAGCUCCCAGCAGCCCCCAGUGGAUCCCAGCAAGCUCUGGUGGGGGUUUAAGAGGCGUUGAGGGCGGGCCCUGCCCUGAGCUGCCGAUAAGGCGCAGCUGUGCUAGGGCAGCCCAGCCCUGUGGCACCUGGGGGCCUCAUUAGGGCCCAGCCGGGGCCCUGACAGCUGUGCUGACGAUGCUGGGCUUGGCUCCCCCUGACGCCAACGUCCCUGGGUGUGCGAUGCCACGCUGACCCCCAAGAGCUGGAGGAGCCCAGCAGUGCAACAACCGCCCCUACAAUGGGCUCCUGAGAGCCAUGCCGUGCAGGUUGCAGGUCGCAAGUUGAGGGCAGGAC